rnacentral:rRNA from 1 species
UACGUAGGGUGCAAGCGUUGUCCGGAAUUAUUGGGCGUAAAGAGCUCGUAGGCGGUUUGUUGCGUCGGCUGUGAAAUCCCGAGGCUCAACCUCGGGUCUGCAGUCGAUACGAGCAAACUAGAGUGUUGCAGGGGAGACUGGAAUUCCUGGUGUAGCGGUGAAAUGCGCAGAUAUCAGGAGGAACACCGGUGGGCGAAGGCGGGUCUCUGGGCAACAACUGACGCUGGAGGA